AGCGAGACAAAGCAAGAGGAAUCUCUGCUCUAAAUUUUUAUCCUUGAACAUGGUCAUGGUCUCUCGUUGACACAAUUAUAACUUCAACUUGCAUCAAUUAUUUCAAUAACCGCCCACCUUUACCCCAAAAUUACAUCGCAGAUUUCAGAAGUACUUUGGUUGGUUUGAGAAAAACAAUACUGGAAGCCCAUUCAGACGUACCCACAUCACGGAGUGUCUGUCACUUGACCUAGACACAUUAACAACAAGAAAACCAGCACACCAACGUGACAUUCUGGUUCAAAUCCGCUAUCUUUCGAUCAAAAGCUAAGGGGAAAAGGGACUAUUUCCAGAAGAAAUGAGAUCAAACCAUAUCUCUGUUCCUAAACUGGGUCAACAGCUGAUGGUCUGGUGACGACCUAGUUUGGUUCAAAAACAAUGCCUACAAAAAAUGAAAGUAUGUUCGAGCGAGUCCAUAGGAGGUUUCAUCAAAAGCUUUACUUUGAAUUACUUCCACUAGAAGUGACUAGAACAUUGGAUCAGUUGUUGAGUAGUCUCUCCCAAUCCAACAAGCAAUAAGACUAAGCUUGAUUUAAUUUGUACAAAGCCUGUUUAAAGAAGAUCGCGUAAUUCUAUAUCUUGAAGACCACAACCAAUGUAAAUCUUUAUAAAAUCGUGAGAUCUGAAAGACCAUAUCAUCGCAGAUAGACUAGAACACUAGACCUUAAGUCUCGAUCUAGUUGCUGUAUGAGGACCUUGAAGCGGAACGUAUGGCGCAACACAUCAUUGCAGUUUGAUGCCAGUCAGAUGGGGGCAAAGAUCUGGUUAGAAGCAGAUCUCAGACGUUCCUUCAAACAAAUUACGUCCUACGCACGUCCAUGUGUUCAUCCGCGAGCAUGUUAAUUAGUGACUCUGCUGUCAUUGAUUUUCCAGCCUUAUUCAUGCUCUAAUGGCAUUUGGGAUAAAGGAGCACUUGUUCGAAUUAGUCCUAUGUAAUUAAAAAAAAAUGUGCCUUUAUC